GUCUAAGGCCAUACCACGUUGAAAGCACCAGUUCUCGUCCGAUCACUGAAGUUAAGCAACGUCGGGCUCGGUUAGUACUUGGAUGGGUGACCGCCUGGGAACACCGAGUGCUGUAGACU
rnacentral:rRNA from 1 species